CUAGAGAGAUGAUCAAUUUCGAUUCCAAUUGCAUUGCCUAAUCGAUAAUAUAUCAUUUCGACACACACAUAAGAAACAUGUUCGUCCUUAUACACAAACACAGUUUGGAGGAGCACAUUUGUGUCAACUAUAAUCGUUUGUUUGAUUUCUUCUCAAUUUGGAGCGGUCGACGUUUAAUUAAAUGACGGAGGGCAUCGAACGGCAACCUGACGGGACAGAUAUUGGGUCAGACGAAGAAAAGGGAAAGACUCGAAAAAGGAAAAAGAAGAAAACCUACAGGUGACAGAAGGGUCGAAUAAACAUAUGUUGCAAUAGAUCAGUGUAAACGCAAACAAUUACGAGAAAGAAUGAAAAAUGUCGAGUGGGGUUUUCGGA